rnacentral:rRNA from 1 species
CUAGCAUAUCAAUAAGCGGAGGAAAAGAAACCAACCGGGAUUCGCCCCAGUAACGGCGAGUGAAGCGGCAACAGCUCAAAUUUGAAAUCUGGGAUCCUUUGGGUCUCCGAGUUGUAAUUUGCAGAGGAAGCCUCGGAGGGCGAGUCGGUCCAAGUGCCUUGGAACAGGAUACCGCAGAGGGUGAGAGUCCCGUAUCCGGCCGAGAUCGCGCUCCGUGUGAGGCUCCUUCGACGAGUCGAGUUGUUUGGGAAUGCAGCUCUAAGCGGGUGGUAAAUUCCAUCUAAAGCUAAAUACUGGCCAGAGACCGAUAGCGAACAAGUAGAGUGAUCGAAAGAUGAAAAGCACUUUGAAAAGAGAGUCAAACAGUACGUGAAAUUGUUGAAAGGGAAGCGCAUGGGGGCAGACUUGGACGCGGGGUUCAGGGUGUCUAUUUUGGACGCUUGUACUUCCCCGCGGACAGGCCAGCAUCGGUUCUGGGGGCCGGACAAAGGCGACGAGAACGUGGCCACCUCGUGUGGUGUUAUAGCUCGACGUGCAAUGCGGCCACCCGGGACCGAGGACCGCGCUUCGGCAAGGAUGCUGGCGUAAUGGCCUUAUGCGGCCCGUCUUGAAACACGGACCAAGGAGUCUAACAUCUAUGCGAGUGUUUGGGUGGCAAGCCCGGACGCGCAAUGAAAGUGAACGGAGGUGGGAGCGCUGUGACAGGCGUGCACCAUCGACCGAUCCGGACGUUUUCUGAAGGAUUUGAGUAAGAGCAUAGCUGUUGGGACCCGAAAGAUGGUGAACUAUGCGUGAAUAGGGUGAAGCCAGAGGAAACUCUGGUGGAGGCUCGCAGCGGUUCUGACGUGCAAAUCGAUCGUCAAAUUUGCGUAUAGGGGCGAAAGACUAAUCGAACCAUGCUAGUAGCUGGUUCCUGCG